AUGCAAAAGAAUGGGGAUGCUAUGUUUAAAAAGGUUUUUAUGUCUGGAAAUCAUUUGUUGGUAAGUGGUUCCCCUAAGUUUAAUGUUUAUGAGACUGAUUUUGAAUUUGGAAAUCCUAUAAAAGUUGAGAUGAUGAUGCAUUCAUCGAAAGAUAUGUCUCUUGCUGAAAGUGGAGACAAAGAUGGUGGACUUGAAGUUGGGUUGAUAUUUAAAACAGAGGAAUUGAAACAUUUAUAUUCUUUCAUUGAACAAGAGCUUGAAGCUUUGAAAUUCUAA